GUGCCAAAACACAAUGAGUAAGGAAAACCAAUAGGCCUUGCUAAUCGCUUGGCAGCUUGGCUUCUCGGCAUAGGGACAUCAUUGUUCCCUUGAAGCUCAAUUUUUGCUAGGGCACAGGUCGUCCCCGUUGCGAUGAACAGGCGGCGGAUCCGGCACCUACUUUGUGUCCGGUCUGCUGCCUGUCUCA
rfam:Drosophila grimshawi strain TSC#15287-2541.00 scaffold_15110 genomic scaffold, whole genome shotgun sequence.